CAGCAGCCGCGGGAAUACAGAGGGUGCGAGCGUUAAUCGGAUUUACUGGGCGUAAAGCGUGCGUAGGCGGCUAAUUGAGUCGGAUGUGAAAUCCCCGAGCUUAACUUGGGAAUUGCAUUCGAUACUGGUUAGCUAGAGUGUGGGAGAGGAUGGUAGAAUUCCAGGUGUAGCGGUGAAAUGCGUAGAGAUCUGGAGGAAUACCGAUGGCGAAGGCAGCCAUCUGGCCUAACACUGACGCUGAGGUACGAAAGCAUGGGGAGCAAACAGGAUUAGAUACCCCGGUAGUCCCUGUCUCUUAUAA
rnacentral:rRNA from 1 species